GUCCGCGCAGUAAACGAUGUCGACUGGGCGUGGGGGGGCUCGACCCCUUCCGCGCCGGAGCUAACGCGGGAAGUCGACCGCCUGGGGAGUACGGCCGCAAGGCUAAAACUCAAAGGAAUUGACGGGGGCCCGCACAAGCAGCGGAGCGUGCGGUUUAAUUCGACGCAACGCGCAGAACCUUACCAGGUCUGGACACCCCCCUGCAAGCCCUGGAAACAGGGUCGCCUUCGAGGGUGGGGGGCAGGUGCUGCAUGGCUGUCGU
rnacentral:rRNA from 1 species